CACGCUGGCGGCAUGCCUAACACAUGCAAGUCGAACGAGACCUUCGGGUCUAGUGGCGCACGGGUGCGUAACACGUGGGAAUUUGCCUCGGGGUAUGGAAUAACUCAGGGAAACUUGAGCUAAUACCAUAUAAUGUCUUCGGACCAAAGAUUUAUCGCCCUGAGAUAAGCCCGCGUAGGAUUAGCUAGUUGGUGGGGUAAAGGCUCACCAAGGCGACGAUCCUUAGCUGGUCUGAGAGGAUGAUCAGCCACACUGGGACUGAGACACGGCCCAGACUCCUACGGGAGGCAGCAGUGGGGAAUAUUGGACAAUGGGCGAAAGCCUGAUCCAGCAAUGCCGCGUGAGUGAUGAAGGCCUUCGGGUUGUAAAGCUCUUUUACUCGGGACGAUAAUGACGGUACCGAGAGAAUAAGCCCCGGCUAACUCCGUG
rnacentral:rRNA from 1 species